GCCUCCGUAGCUCAACAGGACAGAGCGGCGAGCUUCUACCUCGCGCGGCUGCGGGUUCGACUCCCGCCGGAGGCU
rnacentral:tRNA from 1 species